ACACUAGCUGUCUGUGUCAAGGCCACGGAGAAAUCUAUUGGAAAUCGCUGUGGAAACAAACGCAAAUGAAAAGCCGCAAAGAGCAAAGUUGCAGGCAACAGAAGCCAACUCUGGGUAACAAGCAAAAAGGGAAGGAGAAGGAUGCAAGGGCUGCUCAGAGAAUAGAUAAUAUAAUAAAUAUUAAUGACAAUAAUAUGAGACUGAAGACACCACAUGGCUGCUCACUGGCCCAUCUCCUCUCAUGACUGCUGCUCUGGGAACCACCUCUCUGCUCUCCAUCGCUACCACUCUAGCCUGUGGCCUGCUCCUGGUUGAAGAAGCCAUCAAUCAAAAUGAAUACCACUCUGGAAAUCUUGGGUGGCCUGACCUGAUAUUUUUACAUAGUGGCCACAGAUAUUUUAGGCCCCCAAGAGGUAGUCUUACUCUUUCGAUUUUACUGGCUCCACUGUUUGAGGAACUUGGAACAAUUUCCCCAGGGACUGGUCUGGAGGUACUGUUGAAUAACACCACGGUGUUUUUCUUCCUCCCCACUAAGGGCCCGUUGAUGUCUCAAGACCAGACAUAAAACUUUUGGUGCUCAAGUCACUCAGAAUGAGAGUCCUGCUUUUCCUCAGCACUCUUGCCCUUUGAGGGUGGGGCCAAAUGUUUUCUUCCUUUAUUACUGAGGACUUUUGAUCCUGGUUUUUGUUAUUUGUCAUUCCCAGGGGGAAUUUUGUACCCUGUGUCUUGGUAAAGUGUAAGACCACUGUGGAUUUUGGGGUUAAGUCUCAUUUCUCUAUCCCUCCCUUCAAGAGAAGAAAGAAAGAGAGAAUACCCAAACCCUGCAUCGUCUCUCACUCGCCUGUCCAGAGCCUAUGGAACAGCCAUUGGGGCAGCUGUCACAAGCUGUUCACACAGCUUUUCUGAUAUACUGACAGUCUCAUGAGGAAGUGCAUAUAACUCCCUGCAAUGGUUUGAAUGUGUCCUCCAAAGUUUAUGUGUUGGAAACUUAAUACAACAGUGUUGACAGGUGGGACCUUUAAGAGGUGAUUAGAUCACAAGGGCUCUGUCCUUAUGAAUGGAUUAAGGUUAUUGAGAGAGUGGGACGGUUAUGCAAGCAAGUUUAGCCUCCUUCCUGUGUGCUCUCUCUCUCUUUCUCUCUGAAAAAGAAUGGGAGUUAUUAGAUGCUUUUUU
rnacentral:lncRNA from 1 species